rnacentral:rRNA from 1 species
UGAGUUUGAUCAUGGCUCAGGAUGAACGCUAGCGGGAGGCUUAACACAUGCAAGUCGAGGGGUAACGAUGCUGCUUGCAGCAGGCGACGACUGGCGCACGGGUGCGUAACGCGUAUACAACUUGCCCUUAACAGGGGGAUAGCUCAGGGAAACCUGGAUUAAUACUCCAUAGUCCUUAUGUACCGCAUGGUACUAAAGGUAAAACUCCGGUGGUUAAGGAUGGGUAUGCGUGACAUUAGCUAGUUGGUGAGGUAAUGGCUCACCAAGGCAACGAUGUCUAGGGGUUCUGAGAGGAUGAUCCCCCACACUGGUACUGAG